rnacentral:rRNA from 1 species
UACAGAGGUCUCAAGCGUUGUUCGGAUUCAUUGGGCGUAAAGGGUGCGUAGGCGGCGCGGUAAGUCGGGUGUGAAAUCUCGGAGCUUAACUCCGAAACUGCAUUCGAUACUGCCGUGCUUGAGGACUGGAGAGGAGACUGGAAUUUACGGUGUAGCGGUGAAAUGCGUAGAUAUGUGGAGGAACACCAGUGGCGAAGGCGACUCUUUGGCCUGUAACUGACGCUGAGGCGCGAAAGCGUGGGGAGCAAACAGG